GACAGAGGCCUCAAGCGUUAGGCGGAAUCACUGGGCUUAAAGCGUGUGUAGGCGGAUCGUUAAGUGUCUUGUGAAAUCCCACGGCUCACCCGUGGAACUGCUGGGCAUACUGGCGAUCUUGGGCCAACUAGGGGCAACUGGAACAAGCGGUGGAGCGGUGAAAUGCGUAGAUAUCGCUUGGAACGCCAAAGGUGAAAACAGGUGCUGGGGUUGUGCCGACGCUGAGACACGAAAGCCAGGGAGCGAAACGGG
rnacentral:rRNA from 1 species